rnacentral:tRNA from 1 species
GCCUCGAUAGCUCAGCCUGGUAGAGCAUUCCACUCGUAAUGGAAAGGUCAUGGGUUCAGAUCCCAUUCGAGGCU